rnacentral:rRNA from 1 species
UACAGAGGGUGCGAGCGUUAAUCGGAAUUACUGGGCGUAAAGCGUGCGUAGACGGUUAUGUAAGUCAGGUGUGAAAUCCCCGGGCUCAACCUGGGAAUGGCGAUGGAGACUGCAAGGCUAGAGUUUGGCAGAGGGGGGUAGAAUUCCACGUGUAGCAGUGAAAUGCGUAGAUAUGUGGAGGAACACCGAUGGCGAAGGCAGCCCCCUGGGUCAAAACUGACGCUCAUGCACGAAAGCGUGGGGAGCAAACAGG